AGGCUACACUCAGGUCUCUCAGCAACAUGAUGUCACGUCCUGCCUGAGUUAUGUAAUGGUCUCAAUCUAUGCAGGAAGGUUGUUGUUACAGUAAGAGACUACCAUAUUCUCAACCAACCUGGACAUCCAUAAGGAGGCUCCCACAGCUCCCACAGUUUACAAGAAUGUAUCACAUCUAAACCCAUUAAGUCAGUUAUGUUCUACUGGCACCAUUUUGGGCAUGGAAAUGUUCCUCACCUGUCUCCCAGCGCUCCUGUCUCAUGAGCCUUCUUACUACGUCUUCGUCAACUUCAGCGCUACUGCUUGCAGUGUGGACACAAACUAGCUCCUGGGAUUCAGGGCGUCUUCUGUAGGGACAACAGUUUGAAGCCGUCUGAAGAGCUGGUAGACAGGAGCACUUGAGAACUAACUGAGGCUGCAUUGGAGACUUCACCCCCUAAUCAGUCUGUCUGAAAUAUGUAAGACAUUGUUUAUCGCAAAAAAACGUACAAUUAAAAACUAACAGAAACACAUAGCACUAUCACACACAUCACAUCAGAUAUCUAAUAUUUAUUUUUUGAUAUGUUGCACUAUACACAGAACUUUGACACUGUUAAAAUCUAAAUGGAACCAGUUCACAAUCAUCAUAAUAAGCACCUGACAAAAAAAAACAUCUGUCUGCACAUGAAUUAUUUUC